UACGUAGGGGGCUAGCGUUGUCCGGAAUCAUUGGGCGUAAAGCGUGCGCAGGCGGUUCGUCGUGUCUGAUGUGAAAGCCCCGGGCUCAACCUGGGAAUGGCAUUGGAAACUGGCGGACUAGAGUGUGGCAGAGGGGGGUGGAAUUCCGCGUGUAGCAGUGAAAUGCGUAGAGAUGCGGAGGAACACCGAUGGCGAAGGCAGCCCCCUGGGAUAACACUGACGCUCAGGCACGAAAGCGUGGGGAGCAAACAGG
rnacentral:rRNA from 1 species